rnacentral:lncRNA from 1 species
CUACUAAAAAUACAAAAAGAUUAGCUGGACGUGGUGGCAGAUGCCUGUAAUCCCAGCUACUCAGGAGGCUGAGGCACGAGAAUGGUGUGAACCCAGGAGGCAGAGCUUGCAGUGAGCCAACAUUGCACCACUGUUCUCUAGCCUGGGUGACUGAGAGAGACUCCAUCUCAAAAAAAAAAAAAAUGACUUUUUAUUUGCCCUUGUGAUAAGAAUCACCUUUAUUCAUUUUGGAACAAACAGGAAAUGAUGCAGUUGUAGCUUGCUGGGUGGUGACUGUCCUAGGGAUGGUGGGAUCCAGUAGACCAGAAUUGUCAGCACCUUGCCAUGUUCACUUAUGUCCUUUCUUGCUGUGACUAAGAUUCGUUUCCCAGACUCCUUCAUCAACUCCGUUUCCAUUGUGACAUGAACAGUUUUGCACUGCUUUAGCAUCUGCCUUUGGUUUUAAGGGAGGAGACCACCCCUCAUAUUGUCUUAUGCCCAAUUUCUGCCUCCAAAGAUAGAAGAAGAAAUAAAAACUAAAAGGAAGAAAUGAAAUCCACAGGCAGACAGCCCGGCACUGUGCCCUGGACCUGGUAGUUAAAGAUCGGCCCCUGACCUAAUCGAUUAUGUUAUCUAUAGAUUCCAGACAUUGUAUGGAAAAGCACUGUGAAAAUCCCUGUCCUGUUCUGUUGUUCUGAUUACCAGUGCAUGCAGCCCUCAGUCACAUACCCCCUGCUUGCUCAAUCAAUCACGACCCUCUCACCUGGACCCCCUUAGAGCUGUAAGCCCUUAAAAGGGACAGUAAUUGCUCACUCGGGGAGCUCGGUUUUUGGAGAUAUGAGUCCACCGAUGCUCCCAGCUGAAUAAAGUAAAGCCCUUUCCUUCCACAACUCAGUGUCUGAGGGGUUCUUUUCUGUGGCUCAUCCUGCUACAUUUCUUGGUUCUCUGACCAGGAAGUGAGGUGAUUGGUGGACUGUCGAGGCAGCCCCUUAGGUGACUGAGGCCUGCCCUGUGGAGCAUCCCUGUGGGGGACUCCAAUCAGCCUGAGUGACGCAGAUCCAAAGAGUGCUCCCAGGUAGGCAAUUGCCCCGGUGGGACAUCUUACUAGAGAAGCAUGUGGCAGGCCCUCACGGAGGAUCAACACAGUGGCUGAACACCAGGAAGGAAUUGGCACUUGGAGUCUGGACAUAUGAAAUUUGUGAGGGCCAUUUCACCCCAGGAGAUACUGUAACCAAGCAGGUGCAAUUGAAGGCAGGCCUUGGCUGACCAGGUAAGCUCUAAGCAAUUGUAAAUAACUACCUUCCAAAUAUGUAUAAUUUACAUUUUUUAUUUAGAUACCAUAAACAUUUAUUAAGCUAUAAUAUUUACAAUAUUAUUUUCUGUUUUGAGGUCUACAACUAUAUCUACAUAACACCAAUGACAAUAUUUUAAUAAACAGGAGGAAUAUAUAUAUAUAGCUUUACAAAAAAAGCCUGAUACAUUUACAUCUGUAUAAGAUACUGUAGAAUCAAUUUCCAAAGCUCAAGGAACUAAAACACACACACACAGACACACACACACAAACAUCCUAAUACAAGAUUCAACAUGUCUCCUCUUUGCUGGGUCCAGGUAUGAGAGUCAUCACUGUGUCUGUGAGCUGAGUCCAGAAAUAAGACACCCACCUGUGGCAAGAUCCACAUAUAAAAGUCACAAUACAAACUGUGAGCUAUAUCCACAAGUGAGACUCAGAACCUCAGCAGUGGGCUCUGUCCAUGUGUGAGGGUGAUAAUCCCGUCAGCUGGGUGUGCAUAGAAGAGUCACAAUCUCAACUUUGUACUGGGACCUAAUAUGAAACUCUUGGUGAAACGUAAGGGCUUUAUAUUAUAUGCAUGAGUGUGGUAAUCUUCUGAGAACUUUCUGCAAGUAGAAGACUCAGGACCUUACCCAUUGCCCUAAGCCCAGCUACAAGAAUCAACACCUCUUCUAUUGGCUAAAUCCAAGUAUAUGAGAGUCAUCAUUGCAUCUGUGAGCUUGAUCCAGAAAUAAGUCAUCAUCUCACACAUUGCUGAAUUUACAUAGGACAGUCACAACUCUAACUGUGGAUCAUGUCCACAUGUGAGAUUCAGGACCUCAACAGUGGGUUCUGUCCAUGUGUGAGAGUGACAAUUGUAAUUGUCAGGUGGGUGUGCCUGUGGGAUGCACAAUCUCACCUGUGUGCUGAGUCCUGUUAGGACACUCUCUGUGUCACUCAAGGAUGUUAUGGGAUAUGCAUGAGUGUCAUCAUCUUCUGUGACAUUACCACAAGUAGGAAACAGAAGACCUUACCUAUUCCCCUAAUUCUAGCCAUGAGAGUCAAAAUCUUUUCUGUUUGUUGGGUCCACAUAUGAGAGUCAUCAUCACGCCUGUGAGCUAGGCCUAGGUAUGUCACAAUCCCACCUGUGGGAAGACCAGACAGGAGAGUCACAUUGUUUGAAUGUUGGUCUAGGAAUAUUUCAAUAACCCCCUGUGUUCAGGGCCCUGGCAAGAAAGUCACAUUACUUGAGUGCUGAGCUCAGCCAUAUGUCAAAAUGCCUCUGUGGGCAGGGCCUAGCCUAGAGAACCACAUCACCUGGGUUCUGUGUAAAGCAAUAUUUCACAAUUAAUUCUGUUUAGGGCUCAGGAAGGAGAGGAAAGUCAUGUAGGUUCUGGCCUACUGGAUAGGUCACAAUCCCUCCUUUGACAGAACUCAGGCAGCAGAGUCACAUCAUUUGGGUGUAGGGCCCAGUAAUAUUGUCAAAACCCUCACAGAAGUCAGGGCCCAUGCAGGAAGAAAGAGUCAUGUCACCUAGGUUCUGGGCAAGGAAUACGUCACAAUCCACCUGUGGACUCAGCUCUGGCCCCAGGGUCACAUCUCCUGAGCACUAAAUUCAGGAACAUGUCACAGUGCCCUUUGUGGUACAGGCCAGAGCAGAUGUAUCACAUCACCUAGGUGCUAUGCCCAGCAAUAUGUCACUAUUU